rnacentral:lncRNA from 1 species
CAAUUUUGCUUGAUCUGGAUUAGUGGAUUUCACACAUGCUGGUGUAGUGAGCAACCUCAUAAUGCAUGUUUUCCAUGAAGGAUCCUCCUUUUCAUUCAGAUUCAACUUGUUUGCGAUCUCAAGAAACAAGGCACAGCGUUAUGAAGGAUAUAUCCUCCUUUUCAUUCAGAUUCAACUUGGCACAGCGUUGAUGGCUCGGCAUUGAAGUAUGAUUAUUCCAAACUCCAAAGCAUACGGCCGCAGGUUGGAUUUGGAUGGAUUUUUUCUUUCUUUCUUUUUUGAAGCGUUCGUUGCAUCUGUAUUUCUUCCUACUGGUGCCAAGGCGCCGUGCCGGCCGUUAGAAAUCGUUGCAUGAUGCUCCUGUCCUGGUCACAUGUCCCGCGGCUCUCCUCGGCCCGCAGCUAGGCAGAAAGAUGCUGGGCCUUCACCCUGAAAACCAAAAAGUUUUUAAGAUUCUCCGUCACAUCGAAUCUUGUGACACAUGUAUAAAACAUUAAAUAUAAACGAAAACAAAACUAAUUACACAGUUUAACUGUAAAUCACAAAACGAUUCUUUUGAUCCUAGUUAGUCCAUG